rnacentral:rRNA from 1 species
GGGUCAGUAGGUUGGUCGUGCCACCGGUACGUACUGGUCUCACUGAUUCCUCCUUCCUGAAGAGCCGUAAUGCCAUUAAUUUGGUGUUGCGGGGAAACAGGACUGUUACUUUGAAAAAAUUAGAGUGUUUAAAGCAAGCUAACGCUUGAAUGCAUUAGCAUGGAAUAAUGAAAUAGGACGAUCGAUCCUAUUUUGUUGGUUUCUAGGAUUGACGUA